rnacentral:tRNA from 1 species
CUGGGUAUAGCGCAGAUGGUAGCGCGCUAGGAUGGGGUCCUAGAGGUCGCAUGUUCAAAUCAUGUUACCCAGACCA